GAAAGGUUCAUAAGAACUGCUAACUCCUACAACUGAUGUUAACCCACCAGGCCUUUCA
rnacentral:tRNA from 1 species